UUUCCGUAGGUGAACCUGCGGAAGGAUCAUUACCGAGUGAUUCGGGCAACCGAAGCUCCCACACCUGUCUACCGGCCUGUUUCUUCGGCGGGGCGCGGCGACGCCGCCGGCACUGCGGGCGAGUCCCCGCCGAAGGUCACACGACGCUGUACCGUGAGUCUGAAGAGCACAGAAAAUGAACAAAACUUUCAACAACGGAUCUCUUGGUUCUGGCAUCGAUGAAGAACGCAGC
rnacentral:misc_RNA from 1 species